rnacentral:rRNA from 1 species
GAUGAACGCUGGCGGCGUGCUUAACACAUGCAAGUCGAACGGAAAGGCUCCUGCUUGCAGGGGUACUCGAGUGGCGAACGGGUGAGUAACACGUGGGUGAUCUGCCCUGCACUUCGGGAUAAGCCUGGGAAACUGGGUCUAAUACCGGAUAGGACGAUGGUUUGGAUGCCAUUGUGGAAAGUUUUUUCGGUGUGGGAUGAGCUCGCGGCCUAUCAGCUUGUUGGUGGGGUAAUGGCCUACCAAGGCGUCGACGGGUAGCCGGCCUGAGAGGGUGUACGGCCACAUUGGGACUGAGAUACGGCCCAGACUCCUACGGGAGGCAGCAGUGGUGAAUAUUGCACAAUGGGCGCAAGCCUGAUGCAGCGACGCCGCGUGGGGGAUGACGGCCUUCGGGUUGUAAACUCCUUUCGCUAGGGACGAAGCGCAAGUGACGGUACCUGGAGAAGAAGCACCGGCUAACUACGUG